GACGAACGCUGGCGGCGUGCCUAAUACAUGCAAGUUGAGCGCUGAAGGUUGGUACUUGUACCGACUGGAUGAGCAGCGCACGGGUGAGUAACGCGUGGGGAAUCUGCCUUUGAGCGGGGGACAACAUUUGGAAACGAAUGCUAAUACCGCAUAAAAACUUUAAACACAAGUUUUAAGUUUGAAAGAUGCAAUUGCAUCACUCAAAGAUGAUCCCGCGUUGUAUUAGCUAGUUGGUGAGGUAAAGGCUCACCAAGGCGAUGAUACAUAGCCGACCUGAGAGGGUGAUCGGCCGCAUUGGGACUGAGACACGGCCCAAACUCCUACGGGAGGCAGCAGUAGGGAAUCUUCGGCAAUGGACGAGAGUCUGACCGAGCAACGCCGCGUGAGUGAAGAAGGUUUUCGGAUCGUAAAACUCUGUUGGUAGAGAAGAACGUUGGUGAGAGUGGAAAGCUCAUCAAGUGACGGUAACUACCCAGAAAGGGACGGCUAACUACGUG
rnacentral:rRNA from 1 species